rnacentral:rRNA from 1 species
UACGGGGGGGGCAAGCGUUGUUCGGAAUUACUGGGCGUAAAGGGCGCGUAGGCGGUUGGAUAAGUCAGCUGUGAAAACCACGAGCUUAACUCGUGGCCUGCAGUUGAGACUGUCUGGCUUGGGUGUGGGAGAGGAGAGUGGAAUUCCUGGUGUAGCGGUGAAAUGCGUAGAUAUCAGGAGGAACACCGGUGGCGAAGGCGGCUCUCUGGACCACAACUGACGCUGAGGCGCGAAAGCUAGGGGAGCAAACAGG